rnacentral:rRNA from 1 species
CCCUUAGAUGUCCUGGGCCGCACGCGCGCUACACUGACAUGUUCAACAAGUUUCUCCUAGUUCGACAGGACUGGGAAAUCUUUGAACGCAUGUCGUGAUAGGGAUAGAUCAUUGCAAUUAUUGAUCUUGAACGAGGAAUUCCUAGUAAACGCGAGUCAUCAGCUCGCAUUGAUUACGCCCCUGCCCUUUGUACACACCGCCCGUCGCACCUACCGAUUGAAUGUUUCGGUGAAGAUUCCGGAUAGGACUGAUUUGAUUUAUUUCAUUUCUGACCUAAAAGCUAUCUAAACCUCAACAUUUAGAGGAAGGUGAAGUCGUAACA